UGCCUGAUCUAACCUCACACUGGGUGCUGAAAAACCCCACGAUUGUUGCAAUAUGGAUACAGGGGGUUGUGGAACCCCAUGCUAAAGUCCACCACCUUCCUUGAAAGAUUGCUGCACAGUUUCUGGUNNNNNNNNCAUUAUCUGCUUCCCUAUCAUUGCUUACAAUGCCAAUUUCAACCUCUACACUACUCGUUUUAUCCACUUUGUCAGUCUCACAGUUCUCUUGUUGUCUGUGCCAACCAAAUUGACAUCAUUCUCAAUGCUACAAAGUUUCUGAUCACUCAUUGGUGCAGGGGAGCAACAUUCAGAACCUCUUUCCUGCUCAAUGACAAAAUUGUCCAGUUCAUCAG
rnacentral:misc_RNA from 1 species